rnacentral:rRNA from 1 species
UACGGGAGGCAGCAGUGGGGAAUAUUGCACAAUGGGCGCAAGCCUGAUGCAGCCAUGCCGCGUGUAUGAAGAAGGCCUUCGGGUUGUAAAGUACUUUCAGCGGGGAGGAAGGCGAUGCGGUUAAUAACCGCGUCGAUUGACGUUACCCGCAGAAGAAGCACCGGCUAACUCCGUGCCAGCAGCCGCGGUAAUACGGAGGGUGCAAGCGUUAAUCGGAAUUACUGGGCGUAAAGCGCACGCAGGCGGUCUGUUUAAGUCAGAUGUGAAAUCCCCGGGCUUAACCUGGGAACUGCAUUUUGAAACUGGCAGGCUUGAGUCUUGUAGAGGGGGUGAAUUCCAGGUGUAGCGGUGAAAUGCGUAGAGAUCUGGAGGAAUACCGGUGGCGAAGGCGGCCCCUGGGACAAAGCUGACGCUCAGGUGCGAAAGCGUGGGGAGCGAAACAGGGAUUAGGAUACC